UGGGGAAUUUUGGACAAUGGGCGAAAGCCUGAUCCAGCAAUGCCGCGUGUGUGAAGAAGGCCUUCGGGUUGUAAAGCACUUUUGUCCGGAAAGAAAUCCUUGGCUCUAAUACAGUCGGGGGAUGACGGUACCGGAAGAAUAGGCACCGGCUAACUACGUGCCAGCAGCCGCGGUAAUACGUAGGGUGCAAGCGUUAAUCGGAAUUACUGGGCGUAAAGCGUGCGCAGGCGGUUUGCUAAGACCGAUGUGAAAUCCCCGGGCUCAACCUGGGAACUGCAUUGGUGACUGGCAGGCUAGAGUAUGGCAGAGGGGGGUAGAAUUCCACGUGUAGCAGUGAAAUGCGUAGAGAUGUGGAGGAAUACCGAUGGCGAAGGCAGCCCCCUGGGCCAAAUACUGACGCUCAUGCACGAAAGCGUGGGGAGCAAAACAGGAUUAGAUACCCUGGUAGUCCACGCCCUAAAACGAUGUCAACUAGUUGUUGGGGAUUCAUUUCCUUAGUAACGUAGCUAACGCGUGAAGUUGACCGCCUGGGGAGUACGGUCGCAAGAUUAAAACUCAAAGGAAUUGACGGGGUCAUAGCUGUUUCCU
rnacentral:rRNA from 1 species